rnacentral:rRNA from 1 species
UGGGGAAUAUUGGACAAUGGGGGCAACCCUGAUCCAGCAAUGCCGCGUGUGUGAAGAAGGCCUGCGGGUUGUAAAGCACUUUCAAUUGGGAAGAAAAGCAGUCGGUUAAUACCCGGCUGUCUUGACGUUACCUUUACAAGAAGCACCGGCUAACUCCGUGCCAGCAGCCGCGGUAAUACGGAGGGUGCGAGCGUUAAUCGGAAUUACUGGGCGUAAAGCGCGCGUAGGCGGCUCGGUCAGUCGGAUGUGAAAGCCCCGGGCUUAACCUGGGAAUUGCAUUCGAUACUGCCGAGCUAGAGUAUGGGAGAGGGAAGCGGAAUUUCCGGUGUAGCGGUGAAAUGCGUAGAUAUCGGAAGGAACAUCAGUGGCGAAGGCGGCUUCCUGGACCAAUACUGACGCUGAGGUGCGAAAGCGUGGGUAGCGAACAGGAUUAGAUACCCCCGUAGUCC